rnacentral:rRNA from 1 species
GUGCCAGCAGCCGCGGUAAGACGAAGGAUGCAAGCGUUAUCCGGAUUCAUUGGGUUUAAAGGGUGCGUAGGCGGACUGAUAAGUCAGUGGUGAAAUCUCUCGGCUUAACCGAGAAACUGCCAUUGAUACUGUCAGUCUAGAGUAUAGAUGACGUUGGCGGAAUAUGACAUGUAGUGGUGAAAUACUUAGAUAUGUCAUAGAACACCGAUUGCGAAGGCAGCUAACGAAACUAUAACUGACGCUGAGGCACGAAAGUGCGGGGAUCAAACAGGAUUAGAUACCCUGGUAGUCC